ACUAAACUCAAUCCAGAUGGCAGCAAGUGCGUCAGUGUAAAAUAAAAAAAAAACGAAAAUUGCGACUUUUAACACAACAAUUACCAGUUUUAGAUUUUUCAAAUAACGACAGGUGAAUUUUGAAUUGUCGAUUAUAAACAAUGAAGCUGGCAACAAAAAAUAAGAUAUUUGAUAAAUUACACCAUGCAUUUGUUUAUGGUUGCAUAGGACUUACAUUUGUUACCGCAGUAGCAAUUACUCAGUUGGGUUAUGAUUAUUUCGUCAAUGUAAAGCCGGUUAAAAAAGUUGAGAAAUUAAAAGCAGAACGAGAAUUACUAAAAGAAGGUUCUGCGUUUAUUCCUGAUGUUUAAGCGAAUAAUUCUUAGUCAUAUUUUUAUAUAACAAUUAAUUUAAAUAUUACCUAAAAAAAAAUUAAUUAUACCAACAGCUGACAAUUUAUUUUUGAAUAAACAAAUUAAAUCUCGGAAAAAAUGCGUACAAAAUUCAAAAAUCUACCGCGCGCUUUUUAAAUUUAUUUAAAAAAUAAAAAUUGUCAGCUUGUAAAUUUUUAUGUUGUACAAAUAAAACUGGAAUAAUAAAAAAUGGAGGUAAAUAAUGUG